GAUGAACGCUGGCGGCGUGCUUAACACAUGCAAGUCGAACGGAACUCUUCUGAUAGAGACUUCGGUCAAUUGAUUUAGAGUUUAGUGGCGGACGGGUGAGUAACGCGUGAGGAACCUGCCUUGGAGUGGGGAAUAACACAGCGAAAAUUGUGCUAAUACCGCAUAAUGCAGUUGAGUCGCAUGGCUCUGACUGCCAAAGAUUUAUCGCUCUAAGAUGGCCUCGCGUCUGAUUAGCUAGUUGGUAGGGUAACGGCCUACCAAGGCGACGAUCAGUAGCCGGACUGAGAGGUUGGCCGGCCACAUUGGGACUGAGACACGGCCCAGACUCCUACGGGAGGCAGCAGUGGGGAAUAUUGGGCAAUGGGCGCAAGCCUGACCCAGCAACGCCGCGUGAAGGAAGAAGGCUUUCGGGUUGUAAACUUCUUUUGUCAGGGACGAAGAAAUGACGGUACCUGACGAAUAAGCCACGGCUAACUACGUGCCAGCAGCCGCGGUAAGAC
rnacentral:rRNA from 1 species